AAGUCGUAACAAGGUUUCCGUAGGUGAACCUGCGGAAGGAUCAUUAUUGAAUUCACUUGCUGAGUUGUUGCUGGUUCCGAAAGGUUCAUGUGCACGCUUGGUAUUUGAUCUCUUUCCACCUGUGAACUUUUGUAGUCAGUUCUCUCAUUGUCAGUCUUGUUAUGGGUGUUAAAUCCCAUUCAAGCUUUUGAAAGAUGCUGCACUACGUUUUUACAAACUCCAUUGUAUGUCUAGAAAGUCUAUUAUUGGUCGGAAGACCUUUAAUCAUAAUACAACUAUUGACAACGGAUCUCUUGGCUCACA
rnacentral:misc_RNA from 1 species